rnacentral:rRNA from 1 species
UACGUAGGGGGCAAGCGUUAUCCGGAUUUACUGGGUGUAAAGGGAGCGUAGACGGCUUUGCAAGCCAGAUGUGAAAGCCCGGGGCUCAACCCCGGGACUGCAUUUGGAACUGUGUGGCUGGAGUGUCGGAGAGGCAAGUGGAAUUCCUAGUGUAGCGGUGAAAUGCGUAGAUAUUAGGAGGAACACCAGUGGCGAAGGCGGCUUGCUGGACGAUGACUGACGUUGAGGCUCGAAAGCGUGGGGAGCAAACAGG